rnacentral:rRNA from 1 species
CCUACGGGAGGCAGCAGUGAGGAAUAUUGGUCAAUGGGCGCGAGCCUGAACCAGCCAAGUAGCGUGAAGGAUGACUGCCCUACGGGUUGUAAACUUCUUUUGUCGGGGAACAAAGGCGGAGACGCGUCUCCGGAUGAGUGUACCCGAAGAAAAAGCAUCGGCUAACUCCGUGCCAGCAGCCGCGGUAAUACGGAGGAUGCGAGCGUUAUCCGGAUUUAUUGGGUUUAAAGGGUGCGCAGGCGGGAGAUCAAGUCAGCGGUAAAAUGUCGGGGCUCAACCCCGGCCGGCCGUUGAAACUGGUUUUCUAGAGUUGGAGAGAAGUAUGCGGAAUUCGUGGUGUAGCGGUGAAAUGCAUAGAUAUCACGAAGAACUCCGAUUGCGAAGGCAGCAUACCGGCUCCAUACUGACGCUGAGGCACGAAAGCGUGGGGAUCGAACAGGAUUAGAUACCCGUGUAGUC